UUUACGAUAAAAUUGGUAUUGAUCUCUAGAAAGUGGAAACAUUAAUUUUAGUCAGGAAUUGGCACUGAAUGCUCCAACUUUAUGAUGCCUACUGCCUGAUUUCCAUAAAGCUUAUGCAUCCGAGCAAGGUUGGCAAAGGUGGUUACCUAGGUGGGUUGAUGGUCCUGCAUAGGCACUUGGUACUUUCCUGUGUUCUAGGCAGGGAGAAAGGGUCAAAGUCCUGCAUGUGCAUUGGCAUGAUACUUGCUUUGCCAGUGCUUGGCACAAUCUGGAAACAUGCUGGCUCACAUUGAACGGCAUGCAGCUAUGCUCUGUGCCAACAAAUCAUCAGCACAAUAUGUUCCAGCCCCUGCCAAACCUUGGUAGGGAGGCCAUCUGAUCGUUUAGGUGGGUACCUGGAUGCUUAAUAACCAGCUUUGGCUUUAUAAAAUGCCUGGGUGUCUAAGGGCUGCUUUCGGCUUGGGCAGUUGCAUUGGUAGUUGAAGUUUGGGGCAACAAUGUUUGAUGCAAUACUGUAUCCAAAUAAAUAUGUAGCAAUUGGAGAGAUAAAUGGAAGUGCAUCUGUUAGAAGAGUUUCUUUAUUGAAACACAAACUUUUCAAAUGUGAGAUCACAACUGUUCAUUCAAUAACUUAUCCUCAUUUGAUGAGAA
rnacentral:lncRNA from 1 species